rfam:Felis catus isolate Cinnamon breed Abyssinian chromosome B2, whole genome shotgun sequence.
CCAAAGGCCCUUUUCAGGGCCACCUAUUUAGUCACAGAAAGAGUUG